GCCUCAGCCUCCCGAGUGCUGGGAUUACAGGCGUGUGCCGCCGCCACGCCCGGCUCAGGGGCCUGUGUUAAGUAGGUGGCUCCUGGCCUGGAUCCAUCCCUGGUCCAAACGGGAGCGUCCAGCCCCUUAAUUUGGGGUUGCCUAGUGGAGUUCAGAGCUCGGUAUCCACGAGGCACUUACAGAGUCUAAUUAAUGUUUGCAAAAAAAGACUUGGAGAUCCCUCGGAGGAAAAAGUACCCUGUGUAAGACGAGCCGGGCAGACACACUUGGUGGGUGUGACCAGGCGGGCUGUUUACAGAAGCAGCCUGGCAAAGUAGGUUACAGGCCAGGCGGCCCCACCUCUCCACCCGAGCCAGAAGUGGGCUACAGACGGUCCUGUGGUCCCGCCGGGACGGUGACGGCCGGAUUUCACGGAGGGAGCACAGAUCCCCGAGGCAAAACGGUCGGCUUCACCGCCAGGCCUGCGAGUCUGGUGGGCUAAUUAGGAAACCACAGCCGGAGCUUCCGACUUCACAAGCACUGCAGAAACACGUUGGAGUUCCUUUCCCUGCAACAGUAGUUGGAAGUAGCGGCCCCCACCCGUAGUCCCAGCACUGCAGGGGCCUAGGAUAGCGGACGCACAAACUCCAGCCCAGCUAGGGACACAUCCACACCCCGUCAAGACUUGGAAAAAGAAAAGACUGUCCUGCUGCCAUGCGGCCCUGCCUCCCCGCCUCGGAGCCAGCUGACUGGGGACUGAACCCUGCACAAACGGAGAGGCGAAAUAACCUUCCCUUCCUUUAAAAAGAGCGGGGAGGGCAGGGGGUUGUGGGUGAAAGGUCUGGUUCAACCCUAAGUACUGCGGACAAGAUGGGGGCAGGGAGGAGGAGGGAAGGAAGGAAACCAAUGCCUGCCGCUCCAGUUAGCUACGGACAGGCUGGGGGCGGUCACUUGAGCCCAGGAGGUCAGGUCGGCCCGGGCAACACAGUGAGACAAACCAAAAAAAGCAAACAAACUCCUCUGUAAUUCAACCCCCCAGCUGUGUGGUCCUUACCAGCUUCUGCUCUAGUUUUGUUUGGUACUGGUGACUGAACCCCAGGGUCCCACACUUGCUGGGCAAGCACCUCACCGCCCAGGAGCACGCGCAGUCCUAUCCUGGGCUUCCUUUGUGAGCUGUGCGCGCGUGUGUUGGCGUGUGUGCGCGUGUGUGUGUGUGCGUGCGCGCGCGUGUGUGCAUUUCUGGCCUGGGCAGGCAGGUGCUCUACGGCUGAGCCCCCCAUCGCCCGCUCUUUGGGACGGGGUCUCCUUGACUUGCUUGAACCCCUCUGGCCUUCCCUCCCGGCCAGCUGGGUCGGUCUGUGCACCGACCCCACGCAGCUCAACAUUUCCAUCUUUUGAAUUCUCCUUUCAUAGUCAACUCCGCCCAUCAAAGUAUUUAUUGAGCAGAUGCAGAAAGCGGGGACCAGGAAUGUUUAGCGUAGGGAUAAGUGAAUUCAGACAACCUACCACAAAAAACUAAGACAAGAAAAGUUGGCCUUGUUUCUUCAAAUGGCAAAACUACAGCCAAUGGUUAGGAAAAAUAAAUCCAGUGUGGUAUUUGCACAAGCGGCUUUAAUUUUCGCAGUGUAAUAGAUACCGUGCUUACUUUUUCAUUUUUUGAAAGGAGACAUAAAUCUUUUAAAACUUUUAAUAUUUCUCUCGGACCUCUCAAGCAAGUCACAUUUUUGUGACAGAGGCUCUGGCCAGCAACUGAUCCACUUGCGCCAUCAAGUCAACCAGGUGGUUUAUUAAGGAAACGUCUUCUGUUCCCCGACUGUAUUUCAAGUUCUACCUCAGGGUGCCCAGCAGGUGGGCAAAGCUCCACGAAGCAGAUAUAUUAGAAUCCCCUGGGAUUUUGGAAAACAUAUUUUUCCCUUUGUUUACUCCCUAGGAUUCUCAUAUUCCAUUCCUAGGGAGCCACAAACGAAGCAGCGUAGGAGACCCAAGUAAAGUGUGCGUGAAAAUAGGGGAAACACAGAGACUUUGUCCUACAGCGAGGUUCUGUCUAAGCGGAUAUUAGAAAAUAAAAUAUUCAAGGGCCGGGGAUUUAGCUCAGUGGCGCUGUGAGUGCCUGGCAAGUGCAAGGUCUUGAGUUCAAUGCCCGAAACAGUGGGAGGGGGAGAAAUAAGUUAAUUAAUUAAUUAAUUAACUAAUUCAGGCUGGAGAGUGGAGCGUUCUGAGACCCUGGGUUCAAAAGCCAGAACCAAAACAAAUAAAAAAGCCCUUUAAUACAUUAUGUUUCAGGAUAAAAAAUACACAAUACUGAACAGUUGUGUCUUCUUUUUCUGUGUGUUUU